rnacentral:rRNA from 1 species
AUGCUCCGCCUCCGGGGCUGCAUCCUCCCCCGCCUCCUCUCAUCUCCCUCCACCUCCCUCCACCGCCUCCUCUCCGCGGCCGCGCCUGCCGUUUCUCCGAGCCCUAGCUUCGCCGUGGAGGAGUACCUCGUCGCCACCUGCGGCCUCACCCCAGCGCAGGCCCGCAAGGCCUCCCCCAAGAUCUCCCACCUCAAGUCCCCAGCCAACCCCGACGCCGUCCUCGCCUUCCUCGCCGGCCUCGGCCUCUCCGGCGCCGAUGUCGCCACUGUCAUCCGCAAGGACCCCAAGUUGCUCUGCGCGGGCGUGGAGAGGACCCUGGCCCCCAACGUCGCGGGGCUCAUCAGCCUCGGCCUCUCGCGUUCUGACAUCGCGCGCCUCGCAUCGCUCACCGGCGUCACUUUCCGCUGCAGAUCCAUCAUCGCCGGGCUGCACUACUGCAUGCCCCUCUUCGGCUCCUCCGAGAACCUCCUUCGAGCCCUCAAGAGUGGCUCCGUUCUCUCCUCCGACCUCGAGCGGGUGGUCAAGCCCAAUGUCACCUUCCUGCGGGAGUGCGGGCUAGGUGCUUGCGAUAUUGCCAAGCUCUACGCACACACGCCAUCCCUGCUCAGCAUCAGCAUCGAACGCAUCCGGACAGCAGUGGCGUGCGUCGAAGGUUUUGGUGUACACCGUGAAUCGCGGAUGUUCAGACAUGCGCUGCAAGUUGUUGCAUUCCUCAGUGAGGAGAAAAUCGCCACCAAGGUAGAGCACUUGAAGAAAAUGUUCAGGUGGUCGGAUGCCGAGGUGGGCAUUGCUUUUUCUUACGCUCCAACAUUGCUAAGGAGGAGUAAAGAAUCGCUGCAGCGCAGGUCCGAGUUCUUCAUCUCUGAGGCGGGGUUUGAGCCGUCAUACAUUGCUCAUCGUCCAGCAAUGCUCACGUACAGCUUGGAGGGCCGCGUCAGACCCCGGUACUACAUUGUAAAGUUUCUCAAGGAAAAUGGAUUGCUAAAUCACGACCGGGACUGCUAUAAAACACUCAUUAUCAGCGAGAAAGAAUUUGUGGAGAAGUUCAUAUGCCCUCACAUGGAAGCUGCACCACACCUUGCUGAAGACUAUGCAACUACCUGCGGAGGGGAAGUCCCCGCCAGGUUCAUAUUUGCAUGA